CCUACGGGAGGCAGCAGUAGGGAAUAUUGGGCAAUGGAGGCAACUCUGACCCAGCCAUGCCGCGUGCAGGAAGAAGGCGUUAUGCGUUGUAAACUGCUUUUAUAUAGGAAGAAAUAGUCCUUGCGAGGAAAGUUGACGGUACUAUAUGAAUAAGCACCGGCUAACUCCGUGCCAGCAGCCGCGGUAAUACGGAGGGUGCAAGCGUUGUCCGGAUUUAUUGGGUUUAAAGGGUGCGUAGGCGGUUUAUUAAGUCAGUGGUGAAAGACGGUCGCUCAACGAUUGCAGUGCCAUUGAUACUGGUAGACUUGAGUGGGAUUGAGGUAGCUGGAAUGGAUAGUGUAGCGGUGAAAUGCAUAGAUAUUAUCCAGAACACCAAUUGCGUAGGCAAGUUACUAAGUCUCAACUGACGCUGAGGCACGAAAGUGUGGGUAUCAAACAGGAUUAGAUACCCUGGUAGUCCACACUGUAAACGAUGAUAACUAACUGUUGGCUUCGGGUCAGUGGUACAGAGAAAUCGUUAAGUUAUCCACCUGGGGAGUACGCCGGCAACGGUGAACUCAAGGAAUUGACGG
rnacentral:rRNA from 1 species